ensembl:lncRNA
AAAGAGCUGAGGUCUAUGGUGAUAGGUGGGAUGGGCUGAGAGUGGCUGAGGGGGUGGGAUUAAAGAGCUGAGGUCUAUGGUGAUAGGUGGGAUGGGCUGAGAGUGGCUGAGGGUUGGGAUUAAAAAGCUGAGGUCUAUGGUGAUAGGUGGGAUGGGCUGAGAGUGGCUGAGGGGGUGGGAUUAAAGAGCUGAGGUCUAUGGUGAUAGGUGGGAUGGGCUGAGAGUGGCUGAGGGGGUGGGAUUAAAGAGCUGAGGUCUAUGGUGAAAGGUGGGAUGGGCUGAGAGUGGCUGAGGGGUGGGAUUAAAGAGCUGAGGUCUAUGGUGAUAGGUGGGAUGGGCUGAGAGAGGCUGAGGGGGUGGGAUUAAAGAGCUGAGGUCUAUGGUGAUAGGUGGGAUGGGCUGAGAGAGGCUGAGGGGUGGGAUUAAAGAGCUGAGGUCUAUGGUGAUAGGUGGGAUGGGCUGAGAGAGGCUGAGAGGUGGGAUUAAAGAGUUUAUGUUCGGUAUUGUAUUAUUGUUAUGUGACUGCUUUAUAUAACAGUACCAUGUAUGUCAAAUGUAUAUAUAUAUGUAGCAGAAAAGCUGGGAAAAAAAUCUAAAAGAUAUUUGUCCUCCGAAAGAGAGGUCGAGGGGUUAAGAAAAAUAAACAGAAUAAUGCUGAAAGUCUGUUGUCAAUUUGUUUACUGUAAAAUAGCAUUGUAUCUGGUCAAACACAAUUUUUUCCAGAAGUUUACUAAGGGUUGGUAACAGGCUGAUUGGUCAGCUAUUUGAGCCAGUAAAGGGGGCUUUACUAUUCUUGGGAAGCGGAAUGACUUUUGCUUUCCUACAGGCCUGAGGGCACACGCUCUCUAGUAGGUUUAAGUUG